AUUUAAGUAGCUUAAUUUAAAGCUUAGUAUUGAAGAUACUAUGAUGAUUUUAAUAAUCUUUAAAUA
rnacentral:tRNA from 1 species